CAAUGUUGGCAGUGCUGCUUCA
rnacentral:miRNA from 1 species